GACAGAGGAUGCAAGCGUUAUCCGGAAUGAUUGGGCGUAAAGCGUCUGUAGGUGGCUUUUUAAGUCCGCCGUCAAAUCCCAGGGCUCAACCCUGGACAGGCGGUGGAAACUACCAAGCUGGAGUACGGUAGGGGCAGAGGGAAUUUCCGGUGGAGCGGUGAAAUGCGUAGAGAUGUGGAGGAAUACCGAUGGCGAAGGCAGCCCCCUGGGCCUAACACUGACGCUCAUGCACGAAAGCGUGGGGAGCAAACAGG
rnacentral:rRNA from 1 species